rnacentral:lncRNA from 1 species
ACCCCCACCCCUACCCCAUGACUGUCCCCAGGCUGUGAAGGACUCAGGCCCGGUGGGGGGACAGCACCUUUUAUUAGGGUGAACGUCGCUGUGGGGCCGAGCUGAGCCCAGGCAGUCGAGACCCCGUGUGGGGCCAAACCCUUCAUGUGGGGCUGAAGUGACCCCUGGAACCAAACUGACCCUGUGGGGCCAAAGUGCCCCAUGGGCCCGAUGGCCCCAUCCCAGGACAAACAUUCCCAGGUGCUCCAGCACAGCCGGUGCCUCACUGGGACCUUCCCAGGGCACAGCCAGGGCGAGAAAUCCCAUGUCCCAGGUUCCAUGUCCCAGGCUCUGUGUCCAUGUCCACGUCCCCUGUUCCUGCUGCCAUCCCCAGAGCACGGCCAGGGCGGACAAUCCCGUGUUCCAUGUCCUGUGUCCCCUGUUUGUGUCCCCCCAUGUCCAUGUCCUAUGUCCCAUAUCCAGUAUCCAUGUUCCAUGUCCAUAUUCCGUGUUUCAUAUCCUGUGUCCAUGUCCCUUAUCCCAUGUCUGUGUCCAUGUCCCAUAUCCCAUAUCUCAUGUCCAUGUCCCAUAUCCCAUAUCCUAUACCCAUGUCCUGUAUCCCAUAUCUGUAUCCCAUAUCCCAUGUUCCACACCCCAUACCCCGUGUCUGUGCCCCCCGUGCCCACCCCCCAUUUCACAGUGGGGGGGUCUAUGCGGAGCUGGGGGUCCCGCGUCCGUCCGGGGCUCGGCGGGGCUGGCGGCCCAUUCCUGGCCUCUUGCGAUCGUUGCCCGGCCUUGCCUACAGGAGGUGCCGCCGCUGCGUCCCGCGUGGAUUCCGCACGGCGUGUACUGCGCACGGCCGCGGGGGCACGGCGGGCACGGCGGAAAAACCCCACCUGGGGCACCAGGGGACAGGUCAGGGGACAGGGGGAUGGGUCACGGGCACCGGGGGGGUCAGGGGGAUCCGUCCCUCACCUUCCAGAGCCCGAGGACCAGCAGGGCCAGGAGGAGGAUCCCGAGCAGCACCGCCAGCGGGACCACCCACCACGGGACCCCCGCCACCGCCACCCCCGGGUUCAGGUGGAUGGACACCAACAUCUGGGCGCAGGGGGGGUCAGAGGAGUCUGGGGGAGUGAGUGGGCUCCAGGGGGGUAGGGGCAGGGGUCAGACCUGCGUGGCCGCAUCCUUGAGCACCAGGUUCUUGCUGGGGGAGGUGACGGAAACCUCGGCAC